rnacentral:rRNA from 1 species
CACCGGCAGCUCUAGUGGUAACAAUUUUUAUUGGGCCUAAAGCGUCCGUAGCCGGUUUAAUAAGUCUCCGGUGAAAUCCUGUAGCUUAACUGUGGGAAUUGCUGGAGAUACUAUUAGACUUGAGACCGGGAGAGGUUAGAGGUACUCCCAGGGUAGAGGUGAAAUUCUGUAAUCCUGGGAGGACCGCCUGUUGCGAAGGCGUCUAACUGGAACGGUUCUGACGGUGAGGGACGAAAGUUAGGGGCGCGACCGGAUUAGAUACCCGGGUAGUCCUAACUGUAAACGAUGCGGACUUGGUGUUGGGGUGGCUUUGAGCUGCUCCAGUGCCGAAGGGAAGCUGUUAAGUCCGCCGCCUGGGAAGUACGGUCGCAAGACUGAAACUUAA